rnacentral:ncRNA from 1 species
AUAUUUGCUAAGAUGGAGAAUGGUAUUUUAUGUUUAACAGUUCAAGAGAGUUGACGUUUGGUGAAAGUCAAUACUGUGCAAAAAUACAGAUCACUCCUGAGCUAUAUCUUUGAACGUAAAAAUAACUUUUUACUAUUAGAAGAUAUCGACUAGUCUCGUUAACGACUUAGGUUUGCUGGAACUGAAAAAGGGAUAUUCAUUUUUUAAUGAAUAUAAUCAAGGUGGUACCGCGAGUUAUGCUCGUCCUUGAA